UACGGAGGGGCUAGCGUUGUUCGGAAUUACUGGGCUAAGGAGCGCGUAGGCGGACAGUUUAGUCAGAGGUGAAAGCCCAGGCUCAACCUUGGAAUUGCCUUUGAUACUGGCUGUCUUGAGUUCGGGAGAGGUGAGUGGAAUGCCGAGUGUAGAGGUGAAAUUCGUAGAUAUUCGGCGGAACACCAGUGGCGAAGGCGACUCACUGGCCCGAUACUGACGCUGAGGCGCGAAAGCGUGGGGAGCAAACAGG
rnacentral:rRNA from 1 species